rnacentral:rRNA from 1 species
AGCAGUAGCCGCGGUAAUACAGAGGGUGCGAGCGUUAAUCGGAUUUACUGGGCGUAAAGCGUGCGUAGGCGGCUUUUUAAGUCGGAUGUGAAAUCCCUGAGCUUAACUUAGGAAUUGCAUUCGAUACUGGGAAGCUAGAGUAUGGGAGAGGAUGGUAGAAUUCCAGGUGUAGCGGUGAAAUGCGUAGAGAUCUGGAGGAAUACCGAUGGCGAAGGCAGCCAUCUGGCCUAAUACUGACGCUGAGGUACGAAAGCAUGGGGAGCAAACAGGAUUAGAGACCCCUGUAGUCCUGUCUCUUAUACA